rnacentral:lncRNA from 1 species
GAUCGCACUCCCACUCCAUCACCGAGUCUCAUGACCGACGCCCCUCAUGCUGCAACUCCAACUCAAACUCCGGCAGCCCCACCACCAACAGCCACUAUACCACCUCCAGGGGCACCUUCUCCGACUGCCACUCCUGAUGAUUGCGCUCCCACUCCAUCACCUAGUCUCAUGACCGACGCACCUCCUGAUGCAACUCCAACUCAAACUCCGGCAGCCCCAUCUCCAACAGCCACUAAACUACCCCCAAGGACACCUUCUCCGACUGCUACUCCUGAUGAUUGCGCUCCCACUCCGUCACCGAGUCUCAUGACCGACGCACCUCCUGCUGCAACCCCAACUCAAACUCCGGCAGCCCCACCACCAACAGCCACUAAACCACCUCCAGGGACACCUUCUCCCACUGGUAAUCCUGAUGAUUGUGCUCCCACACCAUCACCCAAUCCCAUGACUGGUUCACCAGCUCCUGCAACCCAUCUCUAGAUGCUUCCCUUUGCCUCCUUGGUGUCCG